GGUUGUAGUUCAGUGGUUGGGCGAUUGCCUCGCAUGCAUGAGGCACUGGGUUUGAUCCUCAGCACCA
rnacentral:tRNA from 1 species